CCAAUGUGAACGGGCAAGAAGAAUCAAAAGGUCGAUUUUGUAUCUGGUGGAAGUCACUCUGGAGCAGUUUUUACUGCCUCAAAAGUUAGCAUGCCUACAGCAGUUGUGGGUGCUGGUGGAUUGCCUUGAGCUCCAACUGCAGUGGAUAACAUUGUGCGAGAUGGUAGACAAAACAAGAAAUCUAAAUGGGAUAAGGUGGAUAGUGAUAGAAGAAAUCCACUACCUGACACAUAAUUCUCUAUCUGCUGCAGUAGGAC